AAAUCGUUCGCAUGGAAUCACCCCGAGACCCUGAAAAACGGAGUUGAUUGUUCAAUCCUCAAGAAGUCCGUGAUGUUCUACAAGGAAAUAGAGGUUCUGAACAGGUAGAAGUACUGGUGGUCGAUUCAGAGGCGAUAAAUGGUUUGGACUUGAGCACCAAAGUAUUCAAGAAAAUGAAAAAUCUUAGGGUGCUUAAAAUCGAUGAGUUACAUAUUAGUGGAGAUCUUUAGCUGUUGUCCAAGGAGCUCCGAUGGUUGUCUUGGCAACGAUGUCCUUUAAAAUAUACACCAUCAAAUAUUCCUGCUGAGAAACUUGUAGUUUUAGAUAUACAAGAGAGCAAUAUCCAAGAAUUUGGUUUGAAUUUACAGGCUCGUUACUCCAUUUUACAAUUUGAUGUGUACUGUUACUUAAAAAAAAAAAAAAGUGGCUUCCGGGCCAGCUUGCACGGACCUCGACUAAUUUCACGGGAUACCAUGUCACCUAGUAUUUUUAUCUCUGCCGGAUUAGAACCUGAAACCUCAUGGUUCUCAACCCGCUUCAUUGACCACUAGGCCAUACCCUUGUGUGCUUUCAUGUGUCUUUGUUAUUUCAACUUUAGUGAAAGGAAAUCUUGCUUGAUUUUAUAUUUGGUUUACUUUUUAGUGUUGUAAAAGUCUGAAGGAGCUGGAUCUCUCUGAUUGUAAGCGCCUUAGAAGAACACCAAACUUCAAUGAUUCACGAAGUCUUGAAAAUUUGCGAGUUGGUGGUUGCUCAAGGCUAACGAAGAUCCAUGAAUCAAUAGGAAAUUUGGACGGACCGAUUGAUCUAGAUUUGGAUGGUUGCAAAAAACUUACGGAUCUUCCAAGCAGCAUAUGCAAGCUAAAAUCACUUGAAUUCCUGGACAUUAGUAGGUGCUCAUCUGUACAAACACUGCUAGUUGACCUUGGUGAUAUUCUAAGUCUAAAGCAUCUUUCUGCAGUUGGUACGGCUAUAAAACAAUUGCCUGGAUCUAUUGAAAUGCUAAGAGACCUCGUACUUUUGAAAGUGGGAGGUCGAAAUAUAGAGGCCAAAAGGAGUUUUUCCGGAAGAAGAUUCCGUACCAUACAAUCCUUGUCAACUUUUCUUUUGGAUUUAAGCCUUACAUAUUGUGGUUUAUCCGAUUCCUAUGGGUAUCAGGAAUUUAUCCUCCUUGAGAAAUUUAGAUUUGAGUGGCAAUAGUUUCCAUUGUCUUCCCUUUGGCUUUUCUAAGUUACGAUCGUUGAGGUUCUUGGGUUUGAACGACUGUGAGAAUCUUCAUAACAACCCCAUCACUAUCACAUUUAGAAUAUCUCAACAGUUUUUCGCUUGCAAAUUGCAAAAAAAUUGGUCAAGAUUACAGAUUUGGACAACCUCCCUUCCAUAGAGUUGGUCAACAUGCUUACUUGUAGUUCUCUGCAGAAUCCAUUCAACAAAUGCUACUCGCAUCGUAAAAUAUCGCAAUCUGGAGUUUGAAAUUUAUCUCCAACGCAAUGAGAUUCCAGAUUGGUGCAACAAUCAAGUAACAACGUCAUCUGUCUGCUUCACUAUGCCAGCACAUAAUAAGAAGUACAAGUUUCUGGGAAUGAUUCUCUGGUUUGUUCGCAACUUUGUCAAUGAACCCUCAUCUAGGCAUCCAGAAGCCUGGUCCUGUGGUAUCGCCGAUAAAUGGCCUAUAUUUAUCCUCUGGCCUUACGAUGAUGUAAUACCCGUUGGACACAGAAAUAUCGUGUGUAUAUUACGUAUCUUACUUACAUAGUCCUUUUGAUGGCCAGAUGCAAGGCCGAGAAAAGAUGGAAGUCGUCGAGUUGGGUAAAGAAAAUCUAGUAAAGAAGAUAGGGAUCCAUCAGUUAUAUUUAGAUCAACAAGGCAAAGUUACAUCAUUGCCAGCAGUCAUGGACCUUUAACAGUAUAGGAAAAAAACUAUCUUGACUCUUUCUGGAAUUUUAGAUGUUCAAAACAAUGACAUAUAUAACAAAAACAUGAAUUAAGAGCAAAGUUCUGAAUGCUAUAGUAUAGAUUGUAUAAACUUAUAGUUUUUGUUUUUUCAAUUUAUGUUUUAGUUGGAUCUGUCAUUGUUUUAAGCAGUUAUUUAGUUGAAGAGCUAGCUAUUAAUAACUUUUAUGGUUUCAAUGUGGCAUUGAUAAGAUUUAAAUUUUGCCAAACUUGAAAACAUGCAAGGUUCAUUCUUACUCAUUUAACUUCUAUGUUAUUGUUGGUGGUGGUGGUGGUAUUUUCAACUCUUGGAUUAUUUUUUCCACAAUCAGGGGCAGCACAUUAUAUAUCUGCUCGCCAGCAGCGGAGGGGGUUCAAUUCUCCUUAUACGCGAUGUGGCGAAAAAGAUUGAUUCACU